rnacentral:rRNA from 1 species
GACGAACGCUGGCGGCGUGCUUAACACAUGCAAGUCGAACGGAAAGGCCCUGCUUUUGUGGGGUGCUCGAGUGGCGAACGGGUGAGUAACACGUGAGUAACCUGCCCUUGACUUUGGGAUAACUUCAGGAAACUGGGGCUAAUACCGGAUAGGAGCUCCUGCUGCAUGGUGGGGGUUGGAAAGUUUCGGCGGUUGGGGAUGGACUCGCGGCUUAUCAGCUUGUUGGUGGGGUAGUGGCUUACCAAGGCUUUGACGGGUAGCCGGCCUGAGAGGGUGACCGGCCACAUUGGGACUGCGAUACGGCCCAGACUCCUACGGGAGGCAGCAGUGGGGAAUAUUGCACCAUGGGCGGAAGCCUGAUGCAGCAACGCCGCGUGCGGGAUGACGGCCUUCGGGUUGUAAACCGCUUUCGCCUGUGACGAAGCGUGAGUGACGGUAAUGGGUAAAGAAGCACCGGCUAACUACGUG